AAACUUUCAACAACGGAUCUCUUGGUUCUGGCAUCGAUGAAGAACGCAGCGAAAUGCGAUAAGUAAUGUGAAUUGCAGAAUUCAGUGAAUCAUCGAAUCUUUGAACGCACACUGCGCCCCUUGGUAUUCCGAGGGGCACGCCUGUUCGAGCGUCAUUG
rnacentral:rRNA from 1 species